rnacentral:rRNA from 1 species
CUGGCUCAGGACGAACGCUGGCGGCGUGCCUAACACAUGCAAGUCGAACGGAACUGCUUCGAAGGAUUUCUUCGGAAUGACAUUGAUUCAGUUUAGUGGCGGACGG